GACGAACGCUGGCGGCGUGCUUAACACAUGCAAGUCGAACGGAAAGGCCCUGCUUUUGUGGGGUGCUCGAGUGGCGAACGGGUGAGUAACACGUGAGUAACCUGCCCUUGACUUUGGGAUAACUUCAGGAAACUGGGGCUAAUACCGGAUAGGAGCUCCUGCUGCAUGGUGGGGGUUGGAAAGUUUCGGCGGUUGGGGGUGGACUCGCGGCUUAUCAGCUUGUUGGUGGGGUAGUGGCUUACCAAGGCUUUGACGGGUAGCCGGCCUGAGAGGGUGACCGGCCACAUUGGGGCUGAGAUACGGCCCAGACUCCUACGGGAGGCAGCAGUGGGGAAUAUUGCACAAUGGGCGGAAGCCUGAUGCAGCAACGCCGCGUGCGGGAUGACGGCCUUCGGGUUGUAAACCGCUUUCGCCUGUGACGAAGCGUGAGUGACGGUAAUGGGUAAAGAAGCACCGGCUAACUACGU
rnacentral:rRNA from 1 species